UCAAAGAAAUGAAUUGUCACCCACUCCACUUUCCAAAAACCUCUUUUUUGUUGUCAGUUUUAGUUUCAUGAAGAGCUCCUUAAUGCUACCCAGAACCCCCAUCUAGCACGCUCUCCAGUGAUUCAAAGGUCCCCAAAGCCUCUCAAUUAUGCUCUCGUUCCCAUUGCCUUCCAAAUCCCAACGAUUCUAUGGUGUAAGAAGGUACAGAUCCUUCCAGGUAAACCUCUUCACUCCUCUUAAGACUUUAUGUUGCGAUUAUAUGGGUUGUCUGGUUCGCCAAUCAUGAAAUAUAUUUGAAUCAAAUGCUUUGAAAUCAUCUUUUGUACUAUUGAAUAUCUUUGAUGUAUGCUCCUAUCUUUGAUUUGUCUAAAACGUUGGACUGACAUUUUUUAUUACUGUUAACUCAUCGCAUUUGAUUUCUACUGAAUCCACUCCAUUGCUAAUCCCCAACCUUACCGCUUGAGAACAUACACAAGCCUCCGCAGCGAACAGAGAAGCAACCUUCUUCUUCAAUGGCGAUUUUGAGAUCAGGACCUUUCCACUAUCAUCUUUGGCAAUUAGUCCCGAGGCCGAUCUAAAUUGUAGAGGGUUAUAGGCCGCGUCUAAGUUUAUUCAAAUGGUUUGGUUUUCUGGAGGCCUCCAUUCGGAAACAAUACACCGUUUGAUAACCCAAAGUGCGUAGCAAAAGAUACAACAUUGGUGACUCGAUCCUCUUCUAAACACCCAGUGUUGUCAGGUCAGCUCGGGGUUAGAGAUCAUCGGAGGCAGCAUCACACUAUCAAGCCAAUACUUUUGGAAUAUUGUUACACAUGUUAGAAUUAUCAAGUCAGUGGCAUGUAUAGGGACCUAGUUUUAUGACAUUUGUUAUUAUGAUUUGGCCAAAUUUAUUGGCCUAUUUUGAGCUAUUGUAUAUGGCCAUGAGAUGCGGCUCAUAUUGAUUAUGACUUGUAAGUCUAGCUAGUCAUGUUAUGAUUUAUUGCUUAUGAUAUGAAGAUAUGAUUAUGAUUGUUUGUCA